UGCUCAGCCUAAGAGGUAGAGGGGCCGUGCGGAGUGUGGGCCCGAGGGUCCGUAGAUGACGUAUCAGUCGAUAGGCAUUUAUUCUACUGUUCAAGGAAAACAAAUAAGGGUGCAGCUUAGGCGAAAAGAAAAACAUCUUAUUGCCAGUGUCUAAACUCCAACGGAAUGUGUCUGAGACCGUGUGUAUGGAUACACGUGUACUUGAAUCAACCCCGCCUGUGUGUACAGCUCUUGCUGUUAAGUCAACGCUUUACCGGAGCUAUCGCACUUAAGCCUCAGAACAACUUUAUGAGGUCUACUUCUAACAGGCUUGUUUAUAUGCAUUCUUAUUCUAUCCUGGAUUGGAAUCAGAAAAUUGGACAGUGUUGCAGGUUCUGACUGAUGCAGGCACACUGACAGUGAUGAAAGUGAGAACUGUGAUUCUACUUGAAAGGAAUGGAGGAGAGCAGAACCUUCAGUGUCCUCUGAUGUACAACUCCAGUGGGCAACAUUUACAUUGUAAUGUAUGUAAAUGACAUUUCCUGAAGCACAAUUAAGAGGCUACAGAAUGUAUCUUCCAGGAGGGCAGGCCUAUAUCUUUUUGCUUACUCCAACUCCCUUCUAGCAAGUGUUUGACACAUAAAAGAUGUUCAGUAAGUACUGAUGGCAAAGGGCUUCCCUGGUGGCGCAGUGGUUGAGAGUCCGCCUGCCGAUGCAGGGGGACACGGGUUCGUGCCCCGGUCCGGGAAGAUCCCACAUGCCGCCGAGCGGCUGGGCCCGUGAGCCAUGGCCAAUGAGCCUGCGCGUCUGGAGCCUGUGCUCCACAACGGGAGAGGCCACAACAGUGAGAGGCCCACGUACGGCAAAAAAAAAAAAGAUGGUAAAGUUUGUUAUGUGUUUUUUUACCACAAUUAAAAAUAAAAAAUACUAUUAUAAAAAUUAUGAUAUAGGUCCAGCCAUUAUGGCUUUACAGAUGGAUUUUGACUAUCCCAAAUUCUCCUCAAAUCAAUUUUUUCCACCAAAGAUUACCCCUCAAAUUAUACCCUUCACAUAAUACUCUGUACUUGCUUAUACCUUAUCUAAUUUAAUUUUAGAAACAGAGACCAU